UAGUCUAAAUUGCUGUGUGCUCCG
rnacentral:piRNA from 1 species